rnacentral:rRNA from 1 species
CCUACGGGGGGCAGCAGUGGGGAAUAUUGCGCAAUGGGCGAAAGCCUGACGCAGCGACGCCGCGUGAGGGAUGAAGGUCUUCGGAUCGUAAACCUCUGUCAGCAGGGAAGAACGGUCCCUGUGCUAAUCAGCAGUGAAUUGACGGUACCUGCAAAGGAAGCACCGGCUAACUCCGUGCCAGCAGCCGCGGUAAUACGGAGGGUGCGAGCGUUAAUCGGAAUUACUGGGCGUAAAGCGCUCGUAGGCGGUAUGUCAAGUCAAGGGUGAAAUCCCCGCGCUCAACGUGGGAACUGCCUUUGAAAGUGGCAAACUGGAGGGUGGUAGAGGAUAGUGGAAUUCGAGGUGUAGGAGUGAGAUCCGUAGAUAUCUGGAGGAACAUCAGUGGCGAAGGCGACUAACUGGAACAUAACUGACGCUGAGGAGCGAAAGCGUGGGUAGCAAACAGGAUUAGAGACCCUAGUAGUC